UUGGUACCAACAGUAAGCAAGAGAAAGGGAGAAGAGAGUCUGACAUUAAUACCCCUCUCAGCUAACGUCAGCAUUAGCAAUACAGGCUCCUUCCUGUGGAAGCUACAGCGUGACUAUUAUCUUCAUUUGUUAAUCGUCUCCUAGUCUUUCCGGAAUAAUAAAUCCUCCUAUUGUAUAUUACAGUGACUUAAAAGGAAGGAACUAAAGUGUUAAUAAGUAAUAACUUAAACUGGAUUUAUUUGGAAAACCCUUAAUAGUUUCUUCAUUUAUCAGGGUAUCCUAAAUGAUACUGGCACAGUAGUACCCAACCGAACUGUAUUGUGUGGACAGUCUUGGGGUAAUCGUAGACGCUAAUAGUGUAGUAUUGAUGUAAAGUUAAAGUAUAUGUGUAAAGUAAUACUGUUUCAUAUACCCUCAAGGGGGUUAUGUAAGAUUGCAUUUAUGGUCACAUAUAGCCUAUUGUAUGUGUGGAAAUGUCUAAAUUCAGGUAUUUGCUCAUUGAGUGGAGAACGAAGGAGUCGAGACAACUGGAAGCAGUUUAAUAAAUGAGUUUAUCGAUCGUAGUGUGAAAUACAUUGUUACAAUUUGAAAUUGAUGUAUGGUACUGUAAGUAUUCUUUUACAAACUAGUGUUUAUUCAACUUUCACAAAGUUCACUAUUGCAAUCUAUGUGCUAAAUAAACCGGUAUUUAGAGCUAUAUAAGUAGUUAAUUAUGUGGAAGCUCCUAUCCUCACCUCUCUGUUAAGAAUCAGGAACCGGGGAGUCCUAAGGGAAAAGAGAUGGCAUAAGCACUUACCUGUAUACUUACCUACAUAUUUAAACCUAAUACUUACCUAGUUAUUACAUAUACAUACCAAAAUAUUUGUUCACAACUUUGUCACGGAAGGUCCUCCCUCUUAUAUGUGAUGUCAUUGGGCCAUCAUCAUCAUCCUCAGGCAACAGUUCAUCUUCUGGAAAUGCCACCCGACUCCUUAUUGCGAUGUUAUGCAACACACAACACAGGACCACAAUUUUAGAGACCAUUUUUCGGCUAAUAUAAGCGUGUGCCACCAGUUUGGUGUAGGCAGCGGAAUCUGCUUUUUAAUAUGCCGAAACACCGCUCUACAACCUGCCUGGUGGCUGUAAGCGCGGUGUUGUAAUUUGUUUGUGGUCCUGGUGGGAGGUUGGAAUAAGGAGUCAGGAGCCAAGGCGUGCAAGGAUAGCCACUAUCUCCUGAAAUAUGAGAAAGAGAACAGCAUCAGCACCUGCACCAUCAGCGACAUCAGCAGCAGCAGAAGCGCCCACAACAGCAGCGCCCACAACAGCAGCGCCCACAACAGCAGCAUGAGCAAGAACUAUCUUGUGAGGCUGAUGCUGGUGAUGUGCAUUCUGAUGCUGAAGAAGAAGAAGAUGGUGUGGAGGAGACUUCUAUGCCAUUUUUUGAUGAGGAUGUGCCAUAUGCUAGAAGUCCAGAACCACCACCAACUGACCAUAUCCCACCAUCUGAUAGUCCUCUGCUCAGUAGUCGCUAGAUCCAGCUGGAAAUACUUCAAGAAAGUCAAUGCAAUUCACAGAUUUUCAACCAUAUUUUAGAAGAGGUUCGUGAACAAAACACCCUCAGCAGGGAAAGAUAUCAGCUCCUGUUACAGCACAAUACCAUUAUGCAGAAUCUGACCAAUGUUGUAGAAGAGAGCAUGAAGCAGAUUGGAGCACAUGUGGCUGAAGGAUGUCAGACCACCAUGGCAGGACCAUCAUCCACACAGAACAUUGUGCCAAACAUGCCUACUGACAUGAUGCGUCGAACAACCAGACGAGCUGCUGGUGAACUAACAAACGCAGGCGGAAAAAAGAAAAAAAAAUAGUUUUUUUUUAUGUUUACAGUUUAUAUACAUUACAUAUUAUUGUUUUGUUAUUAUUAACAUUCCUUAUUUUAAUGUUUCAUGUGAAAUUAUUGUUUAGAGCAAUAAAAAAAGUCGGCCAUAAUUAAAAUGUCCACAAAAUAACAA